CAAUUUCAUUUUAGUUAAUUAACUUUAAUUUAUUUUAUUAAAUAUAUGGUGCAUAUAAUUUUUUAAUUUUUACUUUUUAUAGCCUUGCAUAUCUAACACCUUCACCUUAUUUUACAAUUUAUUCCUACGGAACUUCAUUAGUUAAAUGAAAUCAAUUGUGCACACACACGUCUACAUGUCUCUGUGUGCGUUAUUUGAAAUUUCACAAAAUAAGUCUUUUGGUUUCAUUUAAUUAUUUUAUUUAUUUUAUUAAAUAUAUGGCACAUAAUUUAUUAAUUUUAAAGAAAUUAGUUAUUUUAUUUAAAUCUUUAUAGUCUGCACACACCUAACACCUUAUAUAAUUUAUUCCUAUAUUAGAUUAAUUACUUAUAACGAAAUCAUUUGCAUAUAUACAUAUGUAGUCCUUAACAAUAUGUAUAUUAUUAAAUAUGCUUUCUAGCUAGUCCUUAAUUUAAUGAUUUUUUAGGUAUAAUUUUAGGGAUCAUGAGGCAAUUUAUUGCAUUUAUGACAAAGCUGUUAAGAAAAGAUAGUAUUAGGUUGUAUAUAGUCCAUGCAUACAUUAUAAGCAUAGUUGCAUAUAAAUAUUUAUAAUUAAUUAUAUUGAAAUUGUAUAACUAUCUAAAAAAUCAUUGAAGAACAUGUAUAUAAAAUUGAUUAUUGUUUUGGUUCUUUGAUUUGGUUAUUAAUAAAGAACUAGAAUUGUACGAAAACAAUAAAAUAAAUUCUGUUUAGUCCUAUAGUAAUGGUUCUUUUUUGAUUUUGAUUCUUUUUAUUUGAGAGAACCAAGAAUGUUGUACACCCCUAUUGACAAUAUCCCAAGUACUAUAGCAAGAGAAGAAAGGGUAGCAACAAUAAAAGUGAGAGAAAAAAAGAAGAGAGAGAGAGAGUAGUUGUUUAUAGUGGUGUAAAUGAGCCAAAUUGCUUAUGAGCCGCUUAAGCCGUGCUUUAACCUAAUUUUCAGGCUUGUUUAAUAAAUGAGCCAAGUUUGAGCUCAUUAAUACUUGACUCAAUUGGCUUCCCAAGUUGACUCAUUUAUAGGCUCAUGAGUAAAAUCAUAGAACAUGCUUAUGGGAAGGCUCAUUGAAUAAGCUCGUGAAGUAUCUCAUUUACAAGCUUGUUAGCUUAGUAAAUUCAUUGAAAUUUGGAUAAUUUAUUUUAACUAUUAUAUUUCAUAAUGUUGUAAAUAAUUAAUUUGAUUUAUUACUAUUAUGUGAUAUAUUAGUAAUUAUUAUUUAAAAUUAUAGUAUAAUUAAAUUAUUUAAAAUAUAGUUUUAAAAUUAUAGUAUAAUUAAAGUACUAUAGCAUGGUUUUUAAUUAUAGCUAAAUUUCACAACCUACAUAUGCUCACCAAAUUAACAAAUUGACAACAAAAUAAUAAUACCCAUAUAAAUUAACAACACCCAUACAGCAGAAUUCAAGAAGAGAGAAGGAGGAGGAGAGAAAAAGAAGAACAAAAAAAGUAAAAAGAAAAAAGAAAGUGUGAAUGGUACUACUGUGUUUUAGAGACGACCAGAAUAGAGGAGAAGAGGAAAAGAAAAAGAGGAAAGA
rnacentral:misc_RNA from 1 species